rnacentral:rRNA from 1 species
UACGUAGGGGGCAAGCGUUGUCCGGAAUCAUUGGGCGUAAAGCGCGUGUAGGCGGCUCGAUAAGUCUGCUGUGAAAGCCCGGAGCUCAACUCCGGAACUGCCAUUGAAACUGUUGGACUUGAGUACGAGAGAGGUGAGUGGAAUUCCCAGUGUAGAGGUGAAAUUCGUAGAUAUUGGGAAGAACGCCGGUGGCGAAGGCGGCUCACUGGCUCGUAACUGACGCUCAGGCGCGACAGCGUGGGGAUCAAACAGG